ACCAACAAUUAUUUAAUUACUUUAUAACUGUGUGUUGCAUAUGUAAACUAAGGGGGUGGAUUUUUUUAGUUUAUUACAUAAUGGAGACUUGGGUUACCAAAAACAGAAAAUAUUGACCAUGUUGAGGCAGUGAGCUGUCCUGGUCAGCACCCAGGUGUAUUCAUCAACACGGGCACGUUUUAUCAAAAUGCAGAUAUGCUUUCCAGGAUGGUGACUGAAGCUCAUCUUUGUAAACACCUAAAUGCCUAGAAUGGACUUCAAAACAGAUUCUGAAAGUUUAACCAGUAUAAUCUUUAAUAUGGACAAAAAGUAUACACAUGGAACACACACAAGAACAGAUGGGUCCAUGCCAAGCUAAAGAUUAAUGCAGAAGGUAAGUUCAAUUUUUCAUUUCGCAACUCUUGGUUUUAUCCAGACUGGACCUUACAUAUAAGUUAAGUCGGCUUCAGUAUAAUAGAAGGAUAUGGAGAUAACGAACAGCAAACACGGACCCCUGAAACAUCAGAGGUAGGAUCAGGUGCCAUAAUAAAACACCAAUGCACUUACUAUUCGGAAAAUAGCUUGUUAAUCAUCUCCCUCGACAGCAAACUAUUUCCCUCGGCUGCAUCUUGGGGAAUAGUUGCUGUCUUGGGGAUGAUAAACUAGCUAUUGUCCUCAUAGCCAGUAAAUAGGUGUACAUGUAUACUGUUUUUAGCUCUUCUGAGCAAUAGGCUCAAAGAGCUAAUGCUAUGGCCAUUUGUGUGGUGUGCAUAAUUUUUUUAGAAUGUGGGUCAUAACUCGAGAUCCCCUUGGACAAUCAUUGUCAAAUUUGUCAGAGGGCAUCCUUGGCCCAAGGGGUACCAUUUAUACUAAAACUAGGGUUUGGACCAUUAUACAAGGGGAGAUAAUCAGGAAAAUAAGACCAAGAGAACUUUAUAUUGGCCUAGAAUUGUUAAACUUUGUCAGUUGAGGCAUCUUGGGUUUUUGGAGAAUGUCAACCAAAAAGUAGGUCACCAUGACCUACUUAUGGUUUUUUAUAGCUCUAUUGAAAUAUCUUCAGUCCUAACUGGCUAAGAAUCAUCAAAUUUCUCGGUUGAUGUAUUUUGGGUCUUAUAAACUUAGAGGCUUCUAGUCCUAGUGAUAGAUUGUACAAUUGAUCAGAAGAGCGAUUCAAGGCCGUUGGGUUUCUUGUUGUCCAUCGUCAUACACUGUGCUCUGUCUGGUAAAAUUUUAGCAUUUACAGUCUCCUCCCCCCUCACCAACACCCAACCUAAGGGGGGGGGGUUAACCCAUCAAAAGUAUUCAAAAUUGUAUUUUUUUAAUUGGACAUCAAGCAAACUGUUAGCAAGAUUUUAAUAAGCAUUGAGUCCUACUAAAAUUAUGAAAUUCAUAAAGGAUAGGUGGAUCAGAUGUAAAGGCACAGCUUUAUUAAUUAAUCAUAAACUGAAAAUGCAUUGAUUCAUUGAAAAUCUAUAUAAUGCUCCUAAGUUGAAAGCAAAAGGACUAAGUUCAUGACAAUGAGGAACAAGUUUUAUACCCCUAUAAUCAAAGAUUCUGGGGUACAUCUAUAUAGCUUUUGCCUGUCUGUCUGUCUGCAAAAUCUUUUCACAGUGGCCAUAUCAUUUUAUUGGGUGAAAGUAUGGCCUUCAUAUUUCACAGACCUGGGUAUUCAUUGUGACAAUACUUUUGUACUGGUACACCAAAUUAACCUUUUGAAUUGAACUUGGAGUAUGACUCAAUUUUAAGAAAGUUUCAUAACUUGAAUCUUGGCCUUACCUUUUGAACAGCUGGUGCAAGGGCUUUCAUACUUCACUUGUAUAUUUACUGUUACAAGACCUUUCAAUGGGUAUAAAUUAAAACAUUUGACCUCAACGUCUAGUUUAACCCACUUUUAAAAAACUUUAACUUUGAUCAUAACUUUUGAGCUGAUAGUAGUACGGCUUUCAUAUUUCACAGAUUUAUUCUUUGUGACAAGUCCUUCCUUUGAUGUCAACAAUUUUGACCUUUGACCUUGACUUUGGAGUUUGACUUGCAAUCGGGAAACUUAAACCUUAAGCUGGCAUAUGGGGUAUCAGUAUGUUAUA